rnacentral:rRNA from 1 species
ACCGUAGGACGCAAUCGUUAUCCGGAAUUACUGGGCGUAAAGGGCGUGCAGGCGGUCUCUUAAGUUAGGCGUGAAAGCUCCGGGCUAAACCUGGAGAGGUCGUCUGAUACUGGGGGACUAGAGUGUGGUAGAGGGGUGUGGAAUUCCGGGUGUAGUGGUGAAAUGCGUAGAUAUCCGGAGGAACACCAGUGGCGAAGGCGGCACCCUGGGCCACAACUGACGCUAAGACGCGAAAGCAUGGGUAGAGAACGGG